AUGGAGUUCCUGCUGCAACCAAUACGCGGAUCCACUUUCUUGGAAGAGGUUGGAAAAAGCUUGGUACCGCCGGCGCCGCCGGAGCUGGCCUCUGUGGCGGCGGGGCAGCAUGUUGUAGAUAUGGUGGUCGAGCUUCCAGUUGUGCGGCAGGAUACCUUGCCACCCGUGCAGCAGGCCGCCAGCGGCCAUGCGCAGAUUGUGGCAGGACCGGCGUCCGCCGAGGUUAGGUUGGAGAGCUCACCUCCGUCGUCAGAGUUGUCCACUGCGAAGAUGAAUCCGCGAGCCCCUGGGUGGAACAAGAGGUUGAGGAUUGGAGCUGCAGCACCGAGCAGGCAACCGUGUCCUAACCGCGUCAGUGCGUUCGAGAAGGCAGUACGGAGGUUUGCUGAGAAUCCAACGGAGAAUGUUAUCACGCCAGUUAUCGGCACAACGUUCGACUCGGUGGGUCAGGCAUACGACUUCUACAAUUUGUACUCCUGGGAGAAGGGAUUUGGCAUUCGUUAUGGCAAAAGCAGGUUAAAUGUGGAGAGGACCAAAUGCAUGCAGGAAAUAGUUUGUGGUUGCUCGGGAAAAGCUGGGGUUGAGAAGACGAGAUCUUGUCACUGUGAGUGUCCUGCUCUAAUUAGGCUGCUACGAGUGGAGCACAACGGAUGGUAUAUAGCGGAGCACAGGGAUACGCACAACCACUCGUUGUCGCCUAAUUUUGGUGAGACAAUCCACUGGCCAUCUCACAAGCAUAUAGAUGUGUACAUCAGAGAUCUUGUGAAGCAGUUGAGGCAGAACAAUGUGAACUUGGCGAAGGUGUACAGCAUCAUUGGAGGGUUUUUGGAUUGA
rnacentral:rRNA from 1 species